rnacentral:rRNA from 1 species
UACGAAGGUUGCAAGCGUUACUCGGAAUUACUAGGCGUAAAGGGCAGGUAGGUGGUUUGAUAAGUCUGUUGUGAAAGCUCCCGGCUCAACUGGGAGAGGCCAACAGAAACUAUCAGACUUGAGUAUGGGAGAGGGUACUGGAAUUCCCGGUGUAGCGGUGAAAUGCGCAGAGAUCGGGAGGAACACCAAUGGCGAAAGCAGGUACCUGGACCAUUACUGACACUCAGCUGCGAAAGCUAGGGGAGCAAACAGG